CUGCUUCCAAGUGUCUGUUCACAUCUUGCAAUAUCUGGUAUUUUUUACUUAAAUAAAAUGGAUGAACUAUGUCUGCUGUCUCCAUCUCCAAUUGCAGAAGUUCAGUUUCCAGUUUCUUCUCAUUGAUUUCUGCUCGAAUGUUUGCCAUUUUUUCCCUCUCUGAAAACCUCGCAAAGCACUCGAAUUCUUCACAGGCUAAGUCCAAUGUCUC
rnacentral:lncRNA from 1 species